CCUACGGGAGGCAGCAGUGGGGAAUUUUGGACAAUGGGCGCAAGCCUGAUCCAGCCAUGCCGCGUGCGGGAAGAAGGCCUUCGGGUUGUAAACCGCUUUUGUCAGGGAAGAAACGGUCUGGGUUAAUACCCCGGACUAAUGACGGUACCUGAAGAAUAAGCACCGGCUAACUACGUGCCAGCAGCCGCGGUAAU
rnacentral:rRNA from 1 species